ACCUUCCCUCCCUAGCCCACCUGCCCCUGCGCAGGCCAGCCAUCGGAUCGACCCGUCGCCGUCCUCCCACGCGUGGCCGGCGUCGGAUCCGCGCGUCGCCGUUCCUGCCAACCACCGGGUCGAGGGGGUGCUGGAUCUGCCCCAUCGCCGUCCUCCCGCGUCUUCCUGACGACGGAUGCGCCUAGCGGGGCCGGUGAGCUCGGGGGUCGCCGGUGGCUCUCUCCUCCCCGUUCCUCUACCUCCUCCCUCCCAUCCCGCUGCAUCCAGCCCGGGCUUCUUCCUCUCCGAUCACGGCCCAAAGUCCCUGAUCCCGCCUCUGCUCCCCUCCCCCGCUCAACCACAGCCCCCCUCGUCUUCUCCGGUUGCCGUGGAAGACGAGCUGAAAGUCGGGGCCUAGCAGGCGACCACGAUGUGCCGGAGCUCACCCCCGUGAACAGGCCCCAGAGAGGUAGGGAGAAGAGCUUCGACGCGUGAGGUCGCUGGCGCCCCCUUCUCAAAGUGCAGUAUGUCAUGGUCGCGCGUGCAGUUCGCCUCUGCACUGAUGCACUUGCUCCCCGACGCAGGUCGUCUCGUUCAUCUAUGCAGUCCGCCGACACACAAUUUUGUUUGUGCGGCCAAGAGGUCCUGGGAGGGCCGCCCCCAGCACAAGCAACCAAAAAUAUGGGGAGAGGGAUGCGCUUCCGCUUGGACGUUGGCGACCUCUAGCUUGCGGGGAAGCUCCGGCUAGCGCGGACAACAUGGCUCCUAUGGAGAUGUCGAAUGCCAUGGCUCCACUCGGCCGGAGUUUGCUGCAGCCCACAUCUUCAGCGGGGGCAGCUCACGGCCCACCGGCGUGCAGUUUCGACAGCGGUUGCUUGCAUAUUGUUUCUGCUAUUUUAUUUUCCAGAGAUCCCAUUUGUUGUCUGGACCCCUUUUCAUCUUGGUGCAGUUAGCUUCGCUGGUGGUGUGCAGUAUCGACCAACAGCUCCCUCACCUCCCCACUCGUCCUCUUUUGCAUGGAUCCAGUGGUUGCGCACCUCCCCAGCGAGCCCUGCUUCCUCGCGACAAGCUCCGGUGUCAUCCCGUCCGUGCUCCUGCCCCCCUCCCCCUCCCUUUCCAUCGAGCUGGGCAGCGCUUUCCGCAUUCAUGUGGGAUCCGGCGAGUUCCGUAUCACUUGCAGCUCUCUUCGCCAAUCUGUGCAGUUGGCAUGUUUCGCCUGAUGGAGUUCCUGCCGCCGAGUCAGCCAAGGCGACCGUCCCUGCACGUGCCUCUACCUCGCACCGUCGCGGCCGUCCCCCGCCUUUCACUACUUCGGCGAUGACGCGGACCUGUUGGUCAUGCUGCGGUUCACUCAUGUUACUCAAGGUCGUCCGCAUCAGCUGAGGUGGGGCCUCCGACGAGAAGCUCCCAUGGUGGAUCUGAAUUAUGGUGUGUCGUGUGCAGUUGCUGGUUACCUGUAGCGCGAUUCAGUAGUGAGAGCGUUGCAAACUUGCAUUACUGUAUCCCUUUAGGAAAAGAGUUUCUGCAGUUAGUCGGUUCCUGUAUGUGCAGACUUUUGCAUCAUUUGUUGUCUCAUGCAGUGCGUGCAGGGGUCAUAGAGCAGUUCGGUCGUGAAAACUUUGUGCAUAAAAUAUGCAUAUACAAAAAAUGUUGGCUGCAAAAAUAUUAAAAUCUGUUCAUUUUUUA